rnacentral:lncRNA from 1 species
GACAAACACAGCUACUUUUGCCCAAGUCUCCCCCUCCGCGUCAACAACCUCUUUCCGAUACACAACUAUAUCAGCAGCCAGAAGCACAACAGCCAUUGCCUUGGCAUCAAUCUCAGCCGCAACAGCCAUUGGCUCGUGCUGAACCUGAACUGCAAGAGGCUUUACAUCAACCUACGCCACCACAAAAGCCUUGGCAUCAAUCUCAGCCGCAACAGCCAUUGGCUCGUGCUGAACCUGAACUGCAAGAGGCUUUACAUCAACCUACGCCACCACAAAAGCCUUGGCAUCAAUCUCAGCCGCAACAGCCAUUGGCUCGUGCUGAACCUGAACUACAAGAGGCUUUACAUCAACCUACACCACCACAAAAGCCUUGGCAUCAAUCUCAGCCGCAACAGCCAUUGGCUCGUGCUGAACCUGAACUACAAAAGGCUUUACAUCAACCUACACCACCACAAAAGCCUUGGCAUCAAUCUCAGCCGCAACAGCCAUUGGCUCGUGCUGAACCUGAACUACAAAAGGCUUUACAUCAACCUAUGCCACCACAAAAGCCUUUGCAUCAACCUACACCACCACCAAAGCCUUUGCAUCAACCUACUCCACCACCAAAGCCUUUCCUUCAGGUUACACCCCCACAGCAGAACACUUUGCGUCAGCCUACGCCUCCACCAGAAAUCCCAUUACGCCAGCCCACACCUCCACCACAAAAUCCAUUACGACAGCCU